AGGAAGGUAGUGUAGUUAACACCUGCACAUUUGACGUUACCUACAGAAGAAGCACCGGCUAACUCCGUGCCAGCAGCCGCGGUAAUACGGAGGGGUGCGAGCGUUAAUCGGAAUUACUGGGCGUAAAGCGCAUGCAGGCGGCCUGUUAAGUCAGAUGUGAAAGACCCGGGGCGUUAACCUCCGGAAAUUGCAUUUGUAAACUAGGCAGGCUAGAGUCUUGUAGAGGGGGGUAGGAAGUUUCAGGUGUAGCGGUGAAAUAGCGUAGAGAUCUGAAGGAAUACCAGUGGCGAAGGCGGCCCCCUCGGACAAAGACUGACGCUCAGAUGCGAAAGCGUGGGGAGCAAACAGGAUUAGAUACCCCUGGUAG
rnacentral:rRNA from 1 species